UAGGAUGAACGCAUGGAACUUACAGACUAAACGCUUCUCUUUUGUGUUCCUCGUACACUAUGACUUUGAAUUGCUGAAUUAUUAGCGUCAAUAGCUAGGAUAUAUAAAAUACCUGAGAUGAAGAAGAGUAAGAAAUUUUUACUUUUCCAUUAUAUUCAGAACUAUAUCAUCAGUAAUAGUCCAUUUGCGCAAAACCAUACUUUAUACAAUUUGUGAAGGAGGAUAUAAAUUCAGCAUUUAAAAGCAACGCUGUAUCGAUAUAAAAUUUAAAAAAUCCUAAUAUUAGCAAAAGAAUGAUACACAUUGACUUACCAGAUUGAUUGUUUGCAGAUACUUUACCCAUCACUCAUUUCAUCGAGCUUACAG